GACGUAGGGCGCGAGCGUUGUCCGGAUUUAUUGGGCGGAAAGAGCUCGUAGGCGGUUUGUCGCGUCUGCCGUGAAAGUCCGGGGCUCAACUCCGGAUCUGCGGUGGGUACGGGCAGACUAGAGUGAUGUAGGGGAGACUGGAAUUCCUGGUGUAGCGGUGAAAUGCGCAGAUAUCAGGAGGAACACCGAUGGCGAAGGCAGGUCUCUGGGCAUUAACUGACGCUGAGGAGCGAAAGCAUGGGGAGCGAACAGG
rnacentral:rRNA from 1 species